rnacentral:rRNA from 1 species
AACGCUAGCUACAGGCUUAACACAUGCAAGUCGCGGGGUAACAUCUGGGAGAGCUUGCUCUUCCAGGAUGACGACCGGCGCACGGGUGAGUAACGCGUAUCCAACCUGGCCCAUACCACGGGAUAGCCCGUCGAAAGGCGGAUUAAUACCGUAUGCUGUCAUCAAGAUGCAUAUAUUGAUGACGAAAGGACUGGCGGUAUGGGAUGGGGAUGCGUCUGAUUAGCUUGUUGGCGGGGUAACGGCCCACCAAGGCGACGAUCAGUAGGGGUUCUGAGAGGAAGGUCCCCCACAUUGGAACUGAGACACGGUCCAAACUCCUACGGGAGGCAGCAGUGAGGAAUAUUGGUCAAUGGGCGCAAGCCUGAACCAGCCAAGUAGCGUGAGGGAAGACUGCCCUACGGGUUGUAAACCUCUUUUGUUUGGGAAUAAAGUGCGGGACGUGUCCCGCAUUGCAUGUACCAUUUGAAUAAGGACCGGCUAAUUCCGUGCCAGCAGCCGCGGUAAUACGGAAGGUCCGGGCGUUAUCCGGAUUUAUUGGGUUUAAAGGGAGCGCAGGCCGUGGGUUAAGCGUGUCGUGAAAUUCCGUCGCUCAACGGCGGACGUGCGGCACGAACUGGUCCACUUGAGUACGCGGGACGUUGGCGGAAUUCGUGGUGUAGCGGUGAAAUGCUUAGAUAUCACGAAGAACUCCGAUUG